GGAGAAUUGGUUGUGAGAACAAUGUGGAUACUGAUGGAGAAAAUACAAGGUAGGCCAGAGUGGCCAUUGAUUUUCUUCCUUGGGUUUCUGAGAAAGCUUUGCUCCCUAGGCAUCUUUAUCCGGCUUGCUGACCGAAGCAUUAUUCACACUUCUCCUGUGGCCAUGAGGGUGAGACACCUGCUGCUAGGGACUCCAGGCUCCUACCUCUGAAGGACAGUGGACUAAAUUUCUGACAGGGGCCAUGAGACACCUUUGAGGGAAAGAGAUGUAAGAGCUCUGAUCUCUGAGGACAUAAAGCCUCUCACAGGUGCUUGCUUUA